AUUCUUUUGCUGUUUGUAAGCAAAAUGGUCAGGUAUUCAUGGUCAUGUGUAAGACGUGCCUCCCUCCAACCUUGUUACAAUGUGGACGUCAGCACAUUACCCAUUUGAUG
rnacentral:snoRNA from 1 species